rnacentral:rRNA from 1 species
GGGUUGUGAGGUUAAGCGACUAAGCGUACACGGUGGAUGCCCUGGCAGUCAGAGGCGAUGAAGGACGUGCUAAUCUGCGAUAAGCGUCGGUGAGGUGAUAUGAACCGUUAUAACCGGCGAUUUCCGAAUGGGGAAACCCAGUGUGUUUCGACACACUAUCAUUAACUGAAUCCAUAGGUUAAUGAGGCGAACCGGGGGAACUGAAACAUCUAAGUACCCCGAGGAAAAGAAAUCAACCGAGAUUCCCCCAGUAGCGGCGAGCGAACGGGGAGGAGCCCAGAGCCUGAAUCAGUGUGUGUGUUAGUGGAAGCGUCUGGAAAGGCGUGCGAUACAGGGUGACAGCCCCGUACACAAAAAUGCACAUAUUGUGAGCUCGAUGAGUAGGGCGGGACACGUGGUAUCCUGUCUGAAUAUGGGGGGACCAUCCUCCAAGGCUAAAUACUCCUGACUGACCGAUAGUGAACCAGUACCGUGAGGGAAAGGCGAAAAGAACCCCGGCGAGGGGAGUGAAAAAGAACCUGAAACCGUGUACGUACAAGCAGUGGGAGCCUCUUAAUGGGGUGACUGCGUACCUUUUGUAUAAUGGGUCAGCGACUUAUAUUCUGUAGCAAGGUUAACCGAAUAGGGGAGCCGAAGGGAAACCGAGUCUUAACUGGGCGUUAAGUUGCAGGGUAUAGACCCGAAACCCGGUGAUCUAGCCAUGGGCAGGUUGAAGGUUGGGUAACACUAACUGGAGGACCGAACCGACUAAUGUUGAAAAAUUAGCGGAUGACUUGUGGCUGGGGGUGAAAGGCCAAUCAAACCGGGAGAUAGCUGGUUCUCCCCGAAAGCUAUUUAGGUAGCGCCUCGUGAAUUCAUCUCCGGGGGUAGAGCACUGUUUCGGCAAGGGGGUCAUCCCGACUUACCAACCCGAUGCAAACUGCGAAUACCGGAGAAUGUUAUCACGGGAGACACACGGCGGGUGCUAACGUCCGUCGUGAAGAGGGAAACAACCCAGACCGCCAGCUAAGGUCCCAAAGUCAUGGUUAAGUGGGAAACGAUGUGGGAAGGCCCAGACAGCCAGGAUGUUGGCUUAGAAGCAGCCAUCAUUUAAAGAAAGCGUAAUAGCUCACUGGUCGAGUCGGCCUGCGCGGAAGAUGUAACGGGGCUAAACCAUGCACCGAAGCUGCGGCAGCGACACUAUGUGUUGUUGGGUAGGGGAGCGUUCUGUAAGCCUGUGAAGGUGGCCUGUGAGGGUUGCUGGAGGUAUCAGAAGUGCGAAUGCUGACAUAAGUAACGAUAAAGCGGGUGAAAAGCCCGCUCGCCGGAAGACCAAGGGUUCCUGUCCAACGUUAAUCGGGGCAGGGUGAGUCGACCCCUAAGGCGAGGCCGAAAGGCGUAGUCGAUGGGAAACAGGUUAAUAUUCCUGUACUUGGUGUUACUGCGAAGGGGGGACGGAGAAGGCUAUGUUGGCCGGGCGACGGUUGUCCCGGUUUAAGCGUGUAGGCUGGUUUUCCAGGCAAAUCCGGAAAACCAAGGCUGAGGCGUGAUGACGAGGCACUACGGUGCUGAAGCGACAAAUGCCCUGCUUCCAGGAAAAGCCUCUAAGCAUCAGGUAACAUCAAAUCGUACCCAAAACCGACACAGGUGGUCAGGUAGAGAAUACCAAGGCGCUUGAGAGAACUCGGGUGAAGGAACUAGGCAAAAUGGUGCCGUAACUUCGGGAGAAGGCACGCUGAUAUGUAGGUGAAGCGACUUGCUCGUGGAGCUGAAAUCAGUCGAAGAUACCAGCUGGCUGCAACUGUUUAUUAAAAACACAGCACUGUGCAAACACGAAAGUGGACGUAUACGGUGUGACGCCUGCCCGGUGCCGGAAGGUUAAUUGAUGGGGUUAGCGGUAACGCGAAGCUCUUGAUCGAAGCCCCGGUAAACGGCGGCCGUAACUAUAACGGUCCUAAGGUAGCGAAAUUCCUUGUCGGGUAAGUUCCGACCUGCACGAAUGGCGUAAUGAUGGCCAGGCUGUCUCCACCCGAGACUCAGUGAAAUUGAACUCGCUGUGAAGAUGCAGUGUACCCGCGGCAAGACGGAAAGACCCCGUGAACCUUUACUAUAGCUUGACACUGAACAUUGAGCCUUGAUGUGUAGGAUAGGUGGGAGGCUUUGAAGUGUGGACGCCAGUCUGCAUGGAGCCGACCUUGAAAUACCACCCUUUAAUGUUUGAUGUUCUAACGUUGGCCCGUAAUCCGGGUUGCGGACAGUGUCUGGUGGGUAGUUUGACUGGGGCGGUCUCCUCCUAAAGAGUAACGGAGGAGCACGAAGGUUGGCUAAUCCUGGUCGGACAUCAGGAGGUUAGUGCAAUGGCAUAAGCCAGCUUGACUGCGAGCGUGACGGCGCGAGCAGGUGCGAAAGCAGGUCAUAGUGAUCCGGUGGUUCUGAAUGGAAGGGCCAUCGCUCAACGGAUAAAAGGUACUCCGGGGAUAACAGGCUGAUACCGCCCAAGAGUUCAUAUCGACGGCGGUGUUUGGCACCUCGAUGUCGGCUCAUCACAUCCUGGGGCUGAAGUAGGUCCCAAGGGUAUGGCUGUUCGCCAUUUAAAGUGGUACGCGAGCUGGGUUUAGAACGUCGUGAGACAGUUCGGUCCCUAUCUGCCGUGGGCGCUGGAGAACUGAGGGGGGCUGCUCCUAGUACGAGAGGACCGGAGUGGACGCAUCACUGGUGUUCGGGUUGUCAUGCCAAUGGCACUGCCCGGUAGCUAAAUGCGGAAGAGAUAAGUGCUGAAAGCAUCUAAGCACGAAACUUGCCCCGAGAUG